GCCGGGAUGGCGGAAUUUGGUAGACGCAAGGGACUUAAAAUCCCUCGGUCUUUUAAGACCAUGCCGGUUCAAUUCCGGCUCCCGGCA
rnacentral:tRNA from 1 species